rnacentral:lncRNA from 1 species
AUACCUACAUUUUAUUUUAUCAUUAAAUGGCCACUGAGCUAAAAGGUAGUUUUUAUUUACUUAUCUGUUUCCAGAGAUACCUGGUAUAGUGCUGUGCAUAGUAGGUACUUCUCAUUUGCUUACUAACUUGAACUGAUUCUCACUGUAAUCCUGUAAGAUGGGCAUGGAACAUUAUUUUCUUCACUGUACAGAUGAACAAACUAAUUAUUAGGGGGGCUUAAUAAGUGACCUAAAAUCAUAGAAUUCCUUUUAAGCUCUCCUUUAUUUCCUUUCAUCCGUCCCUCAGUGGCAUGGUGAGUGCACCUGUCCUCCUACAGAAACAAAUUCUCAAGCAAUAAACAACAGUACAGAGUUUAUUUCCUAGGCAGCUGUCUGCCAGAGAAACAAGAAGAUUACGCCUGGCAUAAUGUGUAACUUUUCUAGCUACUCGUUUAACGGAACAAAUUGUCCUAAGGUGGUUUUUGUGGAGCUAUGAAGCGACUGAAUGCUGAAAAACACCUGUUCUUUUUGGAAGAUGAGCCAAUUAAAUGUUGGAUUGUCAGUCAUAGACUAGGAAAUGAUGAGAUCUAAAUAUACAGUUGCUUAGGCA